GGCUUGGCCGGGCGGUCCGCCUCACGGCGUGUACUGUCUGGCUGGGUCUUCUCUCUUGGUGAGGCGGCAUGCCCUUUACUGGGUGUGUCGUGGAACCAGGACUUUUACCUUGAGAAAAUUAGAGUGUUCAAAGCAGGCCUAUGCCCGGAUACGUUAGCAUGGAAUAAUAAAAUAGGACGU
rnacentral:rRNA from 1 species